CUACGGGCUGCUGCAGUGAGGAAUUUUGCGCAAUGGGGGGAACCCUGACGCAGCAACGCCGCGUGAGUGAUGAAGGCUUUCGGGUCGUAAAGCUCUGUCAAGUGGGAAGAACCUAUGCAGUGUUAAUAUCACUGUAUACUGACGGUACCACUGAAGGAAGCACCGGCUAACUCCGUGCCAGCAGCCGCGGUAAUACGGGGGGUGCAAGCGUUAUUCGGAAUCAUUGGGCGUAAAGGGCACGUAGGCGGCUUGGUAAAUCAGAUGUGAAAGCCCGGGGCUUAACCCCGGAAGUGCAUUUGAUACUGUCAGGCUUGAGUAUGGGAGAGGGAAGUGGAAUUCCUGGUGUAGAGGUGAAAUUCGUAGAUAUCAGGAGGAACACCGGUGGCGAAGGCGACUUCCUGGACCAAUACUGACGCUGAGGUGCGAAGGCGUGGGUAGCAAACAGGAUUAGAUACCCCGGUAGUC
rnacentral:rRNA from 1 species